AGGACGAACGCUGGCGGCGUGCUUAACACAUGCAAGUCGAGCGGAAAGGCCCUUCGGGGUACUCGAGCGGCGAACGGGUGAGUAACACGUGAGCAACCUGCCCUUAGCUCCGGGAUAGCUCCGGGAAACCGGAAUUAAUACCGGAUACGACCACGGCCGACAUCUGCUGUGGUGGAAAGGAUUCCGGCUAAGGAUGGGCUCGCGGCCUAUCAGCUAGUUGGUGGAGUAACGGCCCACCAAGGCGACGACGGGUAGCCGGCCUGAGAGGGCGACCGGCCACACUGGGACUGAGACACGGCCCAGACUCCUACGGGAGGCAGCAGUGGGGAAUAUUGCGCAAUGGGCGAAAGCCUGACGCAGCGACGCCGCGUGGGGGAUGAAGGCCUUCGGGUUGUAAACCCCUUUCAGCAGGGACGAAGCGAAAGUGACGGUACCUGCAGAAGAGGCGCCGGCUAACUACGUGCCAGCAGCCGC
rnacentral:rRNA from 1 species